rnacentral:rRNA from 1 species
CACGUAGUUAGCCGGUGCUUAUUCAUAAGUUACCGUCAUAUUCUUCACUUAUAAAAGAAGUUUACGACCCGAGGGCCUUCAUCCUUCACGCGGCGUUGCUCCAUCAGGCUUUCGCCCAUUGUGGAAGAUUCCUCACUGCUGCCUCCCGUAGGAGUCUGGGCCGUGUCUCAAUCCCAGUCUGGCUGAUCAUCCUCUCAGACCAGCUAUAGAUCGUCGGCUUGGUAGGCCAUUACCCUACCAACUACCUAAUCUAACGCAGGCCGCUCCCAAAGCGUAUAAAUACUUUAAUCCGAAGAUCAUAUGCGGCAUUAGACUCCAUUUCUGGAGCUUAUUCCUCACUUUGGGGCACGUUCCUACGCGUUACUCAGCCGUCCGCCGCUCGUCAGCAUCUAGUAAACUAGACCUGUUACCGCUCGACUUGCAUGUGUUAGGCACGCCGCCAGCAUUCAUCCUGAGCCAGGAUCAAACUCU